rnacentral:rRNA from 1 species
CAGUCGCCGCGGUAAUACGAAGGGGGCUAGCGUUGUUCGGAAUUACUGGGCGUAAAGGGCGCGUAGGCGGCCAUUCAAGUUAGAUGUGAAAGCCCUGGGCUCAACCUAGGAAUUGCAUUUGAUACUGUUUGGCUUGAGUUCGGGAGAGGUGAGUGGAAUUCCCAGUGUAGAGGUGAAAUUCGUAGAUAUUGGGAAGAACACCAGUGGCGAAGGCGGCUCACUGGACCGACACUGACGCUGAGGCGCGAAAGCGUGGGGAGCAAACAGGAUUAGAUACCCCUGUAGUCCCUGUCUCUUAUAA